UGGAAACCUAAUUUCCCAGCUUGCAAUUCCUUCAUUGGUGAAAAGCUCAUUCCUUCGUUGACCCAUAUUGUGAAAGGUUUGAUCAUUGCUUUGUUUUCUCCUUGUUUUUCCCAUUGUAAUGCUUGUGAUGCCAUCAAUCAAGUUGAUUAAAGGUAUCCAUUAAACCCCUCUUUUCAUCAAACCUAGGAGGAACUCAGUAACCAAUUGCCCAUCAAGGUCGUUGCUUCCAACUUGGUUGUAUCGUGCUUUUAGUAGCUGCAAACCACAUUCAUGGUGUCGUUUUGUGUCAAUCUAACAUCGAGAUUGAAUUUCCUCUCAAAAUACAGUAGGCCAUGCUAAAUUGAAUGGUUUUUGUGUUCGAUUUUGGUCCUUGGUGAAAGCAUCGUGAAAGGUAUGCAACAGUUUACACUCUAAUUUGUGGAUUUUUCCAUAACGUUUUCUUAGCCACUGCAAGAGAACAAAAAUCGACACUAUGUAUUUCGAUGGGUCUCAUCUUUGUUGGGUUACUUGAAUUCGUGUAUCCCUGUCAUAUAUGAUCAUCCCUGUCAUGACUUGUUGGAAUAUUUUUGUCAUAUCGUUUAUUGUAUUGUAUUUCAAUAAAUUAUCAUUACAUUGUUUGCUUCAGCUGGAUAUUUCAUACUCAGUAGCUCAUCAUGUAUGAGCUUUGAAUACUUAAAUGGAGUCAUUUGUUCAUGGAUUUCCCGCAUGCCAAGUUUGAGCAAAUUCCCAUAGAGUCUAUCCUUUUGUCAAGUGUCCAAAAUAUCUUGCAUGCAUUGAGCUAUGGAUCUAAAAUAUUGGUUUUGCAACAAAAUGUACGUUAAAUACAAAAUGGAUGAUUAUAGUUUGUCCUAUAGUUGAUUUGCUUUUUAAUUGAAUUCUGUUGUACUCAUUGUAAUUGUAAGAUUGAUCAAAUAGUUAGCAGCUUGGCGCUGCAUACCCCUAUGAAAUAAAUUAAAAAAAAAAAAAAAGAACUUAAAAAAUGUGACAAAAACUAUAACUGUAAAGAAUAAAAAACUAAAAUAAAACAGAAGAAGAAAGAUAGCAUUCCAAGUUCCAAGUUCAAUUAAAAAGGGGACCAACUUUGUAUAUAUAUGUAAUCCAUUUCAAACUUAAUGAAUACUAAUUAAAAAAAAAUCAGGUUUGGUCGAUUGGAAAAUUUGGUUUUUCAAAAUAGGUUUGGGUUGGAAAUUCGGCCAUGUAUGUCUGGGUCGAGAAUAGUUAUUUGGAAUCAUGCCAUUCUCGAGUCAGGUCGAAAAGCUGAAUUUCUAGUGAACAAUGUUGCGAGUCAUGAACUAACCCCAAGAAUCACUUAAAAUGAAGAAAAUGAUUAAUUACCUAAAUAAUUAAGUCGACUUGAUUAGACUAGUUUGCAUGCCCCGUUUUAUUUAAAAAUAAAUAAAAAUGAAGAGACUUCUAAUUUGAAAUCCCACCAAUAAUCUAACAGAAAAAAUACAAUCCGAACUUUAUACUCACAAGAAAACAUUGGAACAUAUUGACAUCAAGAGGAGAUGUUCUCUACAAGCCCAUGCAUGGACCUUGUUUCACAGUUUUCUUCUUGCAAGAACAUGUCAGUAACUACUUAGCACAUUUUUUAUCUUCUUCAUAUGGUUUGCAAUUGAUAUAACAUAUUUGAUAACUCCCUGCAUCUUAAAGGUAAUGAUUUUUUGUUUGAGCAUGGUAGCUGAUGAUAACACAGGAUAGGAUAGAAAAAACUUUGUUUGAUCAUGGUAGCUGAUUUUUUGUUAGUAUAUUUCAUUUAAUAAAUUUAGUUAUUCAUGACUAAAAACUCUGGUGUUGGUGCUGAUUAUUAUAGAAAAACCUUUAACUAAUUCAGGACAGAUUAAAACUCAGGACCAAAAAACCUUUAACUAAUUCAGGAUAGAUUUAGGACACAAAAACACAAGACUGCCACCACCAACCUUUAACUAAUUCAGGACAGAUUUAAAACCUUUAAUAAUAAUUCAGUUUGACAGAUUAUGAAGUUAAUUUAGGUUGAUAGAUGGAUUUUAUGUAUUUUGAUAUAGAGAUUGUUGGAAAUUAUGAAAAUGAAAAUAAAAUGUAUUUUUAAAAUAAUUAAAUAAUGCAUUAAAAAGUAUAUACAAAAAUUUUAAAAAAAAUAUUAUUUUAUUAUUAUAGAGAGUAAAAUGACUAAUCCAAUGUGAAGUCCAAGUUUUGAGUGAUUAGGCAUAAGGCAAAAAGUGGCAUAUUAGCCAAACUUUGCCUAAGCCAAUGAGAGUACUCUAAUGUGAAUCUCUUAAAUCUGAACAUUUACGCAUGGAGCCUAAGAUCAAAUCUGGAAAUUCAGGUAGUCACUUACUACCAUACUGGGAGUAUCCUUACUAAUAGUAACAUCAAUGUCAUUUAUAGAAGACAAUAGUUGGACACAAAUGUUCAUCAGAUUGUCUUAAUGACCUAUGAAUUGACUAGUUUGCAAAUAUAUUUUGUCUGGACAGCCCCUUCCAUGAACUUCCACAUAUGCUUUGCGAAAAAAAAAUCAUGAAAUCUUACCAUAUGUUUAGUCUUACCCACUUCUCAAUCAGAUAGCCAUUUGUAUGGCAUCCCAUGGUCUGAACUAUUGUAUCCUUCGAGAAAAGCAAUUUUCUGGCAACAUGAUGAUUCUUGUAUUAUAGUUAUAGUUUUGUGACUAUAAUCUUCUUUGUCCUGUAUUUUUUUCUUGCUUAAAUAUAGUCUUUACUGAUUUUCCUCACUCCCAUGCUGAAGCUAAACAUGUGUAUUACUGACAACUAAAUAGAUAUUCUAUUACUGUAGAUGGACAAAAGUUGGAUGUAUGUCACUGAUAGGUUUAGGUCUACAGAAUAUGCCCAAGGGGUUAGGCAGUUUCAGACAAUGGCUCGAGCUCAUGCUGCAGGAAAUAACACUGUGAGGUGUCCAUGUCGUAGAUGUUGUAAUAAUUUAUUUCUACCUAUAAGUGUGGUGGAAGAGCAUUUAUUUAUUACCGGGAUAGAUUCAAUUCAUAUUACACUGAGUGGAUAUUUCAUGGGGAGCAAGAAUCUAUGAAUUUCAAUGACACUGAUGAAGAUGAUGAAGACAAUGGUGACGAUUGUUACAUUGAUGACUUCGACGAUAUGUUAGGUGACAUUCAUGCUGCUACCUGCGUGGGUGUUCAUGAAGACCCAACCACACAUAGUGGAAGUUGCACCUUUGUCGAACCAAAACCAACCACUUUUGAGCAUCUGGUGGAAGAUGCUCGGCGUCUACUCUAUGAUGGUUGCAAAACUAUCAUUUAUUGUCAAGUUGCUCCACAUGCUUCUUAAACUACGGUUGGCGGUUGGAGUGUAAAGUCAUUUGACAUGCUUCUUAUACUAUUGAAGACUGCUUUUCCCGAUUCACUGUUGCCUAACUCUUUUUAUUAGGCAUGGUCAUUGGAGUGAGGCUUGGGUUUAGUUACAUAAAAAUACCCGCAUGUCCAAAUGAUUGCUAACUAUUUUGGAAGGAAUACUCCAACAAACAAGAGUGCCCUAAGUGUAAGGCAUCUAGGUGGUUGUCCACCACACGUAAGCAACAAUCAGUACCCCAAAAGGUAUUGCGAUACUUCCCACUGAAGCUAAGGUUGCAACGACUCUUUAUGUCGAAGAAAACUGCAGCUUCCAUGAGAUGGCAUAAAUCGCAAAGGGUGGAGGAUGAAAAAUGGGUUUGUCAUAGGCAUGACGGAAGAUCUUUACGUGAGGCAGAUUGUCCAAAUUAGUUUUCUGUUUUGGUUAUACUAGCUUAUAAAAAAAAUUUUCUAUUUUGGUUCUUUAAUACUGAAAAAUAGAGUAUUUGCUAUACAUUAUGUCAAGUAAUGAUUAUAACCUCUGUAUCUCUUUUGGUUGAAGAGUCAAAUGGUGGAAAAAUUGAAUGCAAUGGAACUUGAGAACCGAUCUAAGGAGGCAACGGCGGUAGUGUUUAGGGAGGUUCUCGGCAAUAGACCCGGAUAUUCUAGGGGAUUAGGGGAAAUGGUGAUGCCUGAAACGUCGGGAACCCAGCAAGGUGGUGAAUAUGCCACUGGAACAUCGCAGGAUGCGGCAAUGGACCCGGAUAUUCUAGGGGAUUAGGGGAAAUGGUGAUGCCUGAAAUGUCGGGAACCCAGCGAGGUGGUGAAUAUGCCACUGGAACAUCGCAGGAUGCACCGUACUACAAGACAGAGCUUGAGGCAUUAAGAGCAAAUGUUCGAGAAAUAUUAGAGAAGCAAGCUGAAUUCGACAAGUUUAUGACAUACUCAAUGUCACAACAACAAUCUCAGGGAGAGUCUCUGAGGGAGACAUGGGGAGCUGUCUGAUUUUGCAAUGGACUAUGGUUUGUUGGGGCCUAAGAGUUUACUGGGAGUCAUUUUGGAAGUAAUAGUAUAGAGAUCGAUGAGUGGGUUGCUGUCAGAUUUUUGCAAAAGAUGGUGCUAGGUAAAAUGGUGCUGGGUUAAUUUCUAUAAGUUUUUUGUUAUGGGAGGUUACAGUAAGAUUUUUGCAAAACAUGGUGCUGGUAAAAUGGGCUGCUGGCAAUCUAGCUUGAUGUAGUCAUUCUCACAUGGUGAUGUUGUAAAAAAGACUAGUAUCGACUAGGAAUUGGUGUACAAAUUGGGCUAUGCAAAACAUGGUGCUGGACAACAGAAUGGGAUUUGAUUAAUCAGCUGCUUUAACGGUGGAGCAACAGGGACAGUUUAACUGGUAACCAUUUUCACUCUAAUGUUUUGGGGCAUUAUCUUGCCUUGCAUGUAUAUACUCUCAUCUAGACAUGUUUGAACGUCUGGACAUUUAAUGUUCAGUAAGAUAUGCAGCUAUCUGUAUUUAUUACAUAGCACCAGAUGGGUAGACUUUGAUUGGGUUUUUGGUAAUAUACUACAAGAUCCUUUCUCUA